rnacentral:rRNA from 1 species
UACAGAGGGUGCUAGCGUUGUUCGGAAUCAUUGGGCGUAAAGGGCGUGUAGGCGGUUUGUUAAGUCAUGUGUGAAAUCCCUCGGCUCAACCGGGGAAGGACGCAUGAAACUGGCAAGCUAGAGUACCAAAGAGGGGGGUGGAAUUCCCGGUGUAGCGGUGAAAUGCGCAGAUAUCGGGAGGAACACCUGUGGCGAAGGCGGCCCCCUGGUUGGAUACUGACGCUGAUACGCGAAAGCGUGGGGAGCAAACAGG